GAUGAACGCUGGCGGCGUGCCUAAUACAUGCAAGUCGAGCGAACAGACGAGGAGCUUGCUCCUCUGACGUUAGCGGCGGACGGGUGAGUAACACGUGGAUAACCUACCUAUAAGAAUGGGAUAACUUCGGGAAACCGGAGCUAAUACCGGAUAAUAUAUUGAACCGCAUGGUGCAAUAGUGAAAGACGGUUUUGCUGUCACUAAUAGAUGGAUCCGCGCCGCAUUAGCUAGUUGGUACGGUGACGGCUUACCAAGGCAACGAUGCGUAGCCGACCUGAGCGGGUGAUCGGUCACUGUUGAGCUGAGACGCGCUCCAGACUUCGACGGGAGGCACCAGUCGGGCAUCUACCGGAGGGGGCGGUAGCCUAAAGUGGACACGGCGCGAGAGUCAUGAAGGUCUUCGCCGCGUAAAACUUGGUUAUUUGAGAAUAGCAAAUGUGUAUGUACCGAGGCGCGUAUGGCAGUUCCGGGAUAAGAAGGCCCCGGUUACCCCCUU
rnacentral:rRNA from 1 species